rnacentral:rRNA from 1 species
GAUGAACGCUGGCGGCGUGCUUAACACAUGCAAGUCGAACGAUGAAGCCCAGCUUGCUGGGUGGAUUAGUGGCGAACGGGUGAGUAACACGUGAGUAACCUGCCCUUGACUCUGGGAUAAGCCUGGGAAACUGGGUCUAAUACUGGAUAUGACUUCUCAUCGCAUGGUGGGGGGUGGAAAGAUUUAUUGGUCUUGGAUGGACUCGCGGCCUAUCAGCUUGUUGGUGAGGUAAUGGCUCACCAAGGCGACGACGGGUAGCCGGCCUGAGAGGGUGACCGGCCACACUGGGACUGAGACACGGCCCAGACUCCUACGGGAGGCAGCAGUGGGGAAUAUUGCACAAUGGGCGCAAGCCUGAUGCAGCGACGCCGCGUGAGGGAUGACGGCCUUCGGGUUGUAAACCUCUUUCAGUAGGGAAGAAGCGAGAGCGACGGUACCUGCAGAAGAAGCGCCGGCUAACUACGUG